AGCUGAUCCUGAUGUAUCGUACGUGGAAGUUAAUUUCAAGACCCCCUCGGCGCCCCGGGCCCGGACAGAUCAAGCCGGUGUGACCUCCAUUUACUCACAGCUGAAAUUUCGGAAAGAGGAACCCCGCAUCGAUGAGGACGAAGAUCCUCCCAUUUCCUCGGGACCCGGCGGACUGCCAGCCACUGCACAAACAGCUGCGCAAGAACGGGAGUCGAAAGCGAAGAUCGGGAACAGACCGCCCCGUCUGAUCUGCCUACUCUGCCUAGUUACGUCCGCCCUCAUCGUGACAGUGGCCGGUCUCUCGAUCCAUGUAUCACAGAUUCGACAGUCUCAGAUCACC